rnacentral:rRNA from 1 species
AGAGUUUGAUCAUGGCUCAGAAUCAACGCUGGCGGCGUGCCUAACACAUGCAAGUCGCACGAGAAAGUGGAGCAAUCCAUGAGUAAAGUGGCGUACGGGUGAGUAACACGUGACUAACCUACCUUCGAGUGGGGAAUAACCUCGGGAAACCGGGGCUAAUACCGCAUAACAUCUUCUGGCUGAGAUGCCGGUUGAUCAAAGUAGUAAUGCGCUUGAAGAGGGGGUCGCGGCUGAUUAGCUAGUUGGUGGGGUAACGGCCCACCAAGGCGAUGAUCAGUAGCCGGCCUGAGAGGGCGCACGGCCACACUGGAACUGAAACACGGUCCAGACUCCUACGGGAGGCAGCAGUGGGGAAUUUUGCGCAAUGGGGGAAACCCUGACGCAGCAACGCCGCGUGGAGGAUGAAGUCCCUUGGGACGUAAACUCCUUUCGAUCGGGACGAUUAUGACGGUACCGGAAGAAGAAGCCCCGGCUAACUUCGUGCCAGCAGCCGCGGUAAUACGAGGGGGGCAAGCGUUGUUCGGAAUUACUGGGCGUAAAGGGCGCGUAGGCGGUUUGCUAAGUUGGAUGUGAAAACUCUGGGCUUAACCCAGAGCCUGCAUCCAAAACUGGCAAACUUGAGUACUGGAGGGGAAAGCGGAAUUCCUGGUGUAGCGGUGAAAUGCGUAGAUAUCAGGAGGAACACCGGUGGCGAAGGCGGCUUUCUGGACAGUAACUGACGCUGAGGCGCGAAAGCUAGGGGAGCAAACAGGAUUAGAUACCCUAGUAGUCC